UACAGAGGUCCCAAGCGUUGUUCGGAUUCACUGGGCGUAAAGGGUGCGUAGGUGGCCAGGUAAGUUUGGUGUGAAAGCUCGGAGCUUAACUCCGAAAAGUCAUUGAAUACUAUCUGGCUGGAGGGUCGGAGGGGAGACUGGAAUUCUCGGUGUAGCAGUGAAAUGCGUAGAUAUCGAGAGGAACACCAGUGGCGAAGGCGAGUCUCUGGACGACACCUGACACUGAGGCACGAAGGCCAGGGGAGCAAACGGG
rnacentral:rRNA from 1 species